rnacentral:rRNA from 1 species
UGGGGAAUAUUGGACAAUGGGCGCAAGCCUGAUCCAGCCAUGCCGCGUGAGUGAUGAAGGCCCUAGGGUUGUAAAGCUCUUUCACCGGUGAAGAUAAUGACGGUAACCGGAGAAGAAGCCCCGGCUAACUUCGUGCCAGCAGCCGCGGUAAUACGAAGGGGGCUAGCGUUGUUCGGAUUUACUGGGCGUAAAGCGCACGUAGGCGGACUAUUAAGUCAGGGGUGAAAUCCCGGGGCUCAACCCCGGCACUGCCUUUGAUACUGGUAGUCUUGAGUUCGAGAGAGGUGAGUGGAAUUCCGAGUGUAGAGGUGAAAUUCUUAGAUAUUCGGAGGAACACCAGUGGCGAAGGCGGCUCACUGGCUCGAUACUGACGCUGAGGUGCGAAAGCGUGGGGAGCAAACAGG